rnacentral:piRNA from 1 species
UAACACACCACACCCUUCAGGCUUGCGCUGA